rnacentral:lncRNA from 1 species
GGAAACAGCUCUCUGCAGCAAGCUGUCUGGAUCCAGACAUUCGCUUGGGAUUCCUAAUGCCUUGAUUUGAGGAGAGAAGAUGAACCUCACCUAACUUUGAAAUUAAUAUUUAAUGCUUUGAGGUCCCUUACUUGCAGGGAGAUGUGGUAAAUUGAAUUUGCUCCUUGCGAGGUCUUCAAACAAGGCUUUCAGCAAGCAAUUCCUGGCCAAGAAACAAAAGCAGAAUCAUCCCAUUCCCCAAUGGAUUCAAAUGAAAACUGGUAGUAAAAUCAGGUAAAACUCCCAAGAGAAAACACUGGAGAAGAACCAAGCU